AUUGAACGCUGGCGGCAGGCCUAACACAUGCAAGUCGAACGAGUAGAGGCAGGGUGAGUGAUGUCGGGGGAACUGCCCGAUGGAAGGGGAUAACUACUGGAAACGGUAGCUCAUACCACAUACCCUAAGAUAUGCCCAGAUGGGAUUAGCUGGAAGGUGGGGUAACGGCUCACCUAGGCGACGAUCCAUAGCUGGUCUGAGAGGAUGACCAGCCACAUUGGAACUGAGACACGGCCCAGACUCCUACGGGAGGCAGCAGUAGGGAAUAUUCCACAAUGGGCGAAAGUCUGAUGCAGCCAUGCCGCGUGUAUGAAGAAGGUCUUCGGGUCGUAAAGUUCUGUCAGUGGUGAGGCGUUACUCGCCCAAGAAGCCCCGGCUAACUCCGUGCCAGCAGCCGCGGUAAUAC
rnacentral:rRNA from 1 species